rnacentral:sRNA from 1 species
GUUGGGUGCAGUGGUGCACACCUAUAAUCCUAGUGGCUUGGGAGGCUGAGGCAGGAGGAUUGCAAGUUUAAAGCCAACCUCCGUAACUUAGCUUAGUCCCUAAGCAAUUUAGCAAGACCCUGUCUCAA